GAUGAAGAACGUAGCGAAAUGCGAUAAGUAGUGUGAAUUGCAGAAUUCAGUGAAUCAUCGAAUCUUUGAACGCACCUUGCGCCCUUUGGCUAUUCCGAAGGGCAUGCCUGUUUGAGUAUCAUGAACACCUCAACUCUCAUGGUUUUUCCAUGAUGGGCUUGGACUUUGGGGGUCUUGCUGGCCUAUAGUCAGCUCCUCUUAAAUGAAUCAGCUUGCCAGUGUUUGGUGGCAUCACAGGUGUGAUAACUAUCUACGCCUGUGGUUUUCUGCCAGUUAACCUUCAGCGAUGGAGGUUCGCUGGGGCUCAUAAAUGUCUCUCUUCAGUGGAGACAGCUUUUUGGACGUUUGAUCUCAAAUCAGGUAGGACUACCCGCUGAACUUAAGCAUAUCAAUAAGCGGAGGA
rnacentral:misc_RNA from 1 species